rnacentral:misc_RNA from 1 species
CGCAUUCAGCUCUUAAAAUUCAAUCAUUCUGCGAUUUGAUCGAAAACUAAGCGAUAUUUCUUUCCAGUUUGAGAUAUUUCGACGUUUAAACGCCCAUUUUACCCCAUUCUGCACGCAGAUCGUAGUGCGCGCGAUAGCCAGUGUCGAUGCAAUCGUAUUCAGCUCUCAAAAAUUCCAUCAUUCUUCGAUUUGAUCGAAAACUAAGCGAUAUUUCUUUACAGUUUGAGAUAUUUCGACGUUUAAACGCCCAUUUUACUCCAUAUUCACGCAUAACCCAGUGCGCGCGAUAGCCAGUGCCGAUGCAAGCGCAUUCAGCUCUUAAAAUUCAAUCAUUCUUCGAUUUGAUCGAAAACUACGCCGAUAUUUCUUUCCAGUUUGAGAUAUUUCGACGUUUAAACGCCCAUUUUACUCCAUUGUACAUGCAGAAGGUAGUGCACGCGAUUUCUAUCCUUGAAACAAGCCCAGAAGCUAGAAAAAUUCAUUCAUACGUCGAUUUGGUCGAAAACUAUACGAUAUUUCUCUCGAGUUAGCGAAAUUUCGACGUUUAAACACUCAUUUUACUAAAUUUUGCACGCAGAACGUAGUGCGGAGCGAUAGCCAGUGUCGAUGCAAACGCAUUCAGCUCUUAAAAUUCAAUCAUUCUUCGAUUUGAUCGAAAACUAAGCGAUAUUUCUUUCCAGUUUGAGAUAUUUCGACGUUUAAACGCCCAUUUUACUCCAUUGUACAUGCUGAAGGUAGUGCACGCGAUUUCUAUCCUUGAAACACGCCCAGUGUCACGUCCCACGCUCCGCACGUGCCGCAACGAGAACAUAGAUAACCGCAAUACACAAACAACGCAAGUAUCAACUCGUAUACCUGGAAACAAACACACAGUGCAAUGAAAAUGGAAAUUCUUUAAUAAAAUUUAUUAAACAUAGUUUAUUAUUCAUAUAUAUAGAUAUAAUUAAUAUACGAGGGUAAGAUGGAAAAUAAAAUAGAAAUAGAUAGGCUUCCAACACUCUAUCAGGAAUUUCCUCCGGAAAACGGACCUUUUCUAUUCCUUUUCUUUUUCUUACACUAAAAUAAAAUACACAAAUUCAAGAUAAAGGACAACAAUAUGAAAUAUGAUGAAAUCAACACAAAUCAAAUUAAUACAUACCUCUACAGCUCCAGACAUGUCAGUAUCCAUGAUUCAAUAUAACCUGCAUUCAUAAAAGAAAUAUGAGAAUAUAACAAACAAAAUUAGCACUACAGAUCAUACAAACAUCAAGCAAUAUCAAAAUUACUUAUUGCUACGAACAAACAUUUUAUAAAAAGGAAAACUAACCUAAAACUCGGCAAGCAAAUCAACAAAUAGAAACCACCACCACGCACCACCUCUUAUAGAAUGACGUAUUAAAACUUGUCCUUGAACUCACAAUAACUUUGGGGAACAUAAGAAAUAGAGCAUACAACACGUACAAAGACUCGGCAAGCACCUCGUACGAUUCACCGACAUCAGCAGGGCGAUCACUGGACACACAAAAUGCAACCUCAGCAAGGCCAAGCAG